rnacentral:rRNA from 1 species
AUUGAACGCUGGCGGCAGGCCUAACACAUGCAAGUCGAGCGAGCGGCGGACGGGUGAGUAAUGUCUGGGAAUCUGCCCGAUAGAGGGGGAUAACUACUGGAAACGGUAGCUAAUACCGCAUACUAUCGGAUGAACCCAUAUGGGAUUAGCUAGUAGGUGGGGUAAAGGCUCACCUAGGCGACGAUCUCUAGCUGGUCUGAGAGGAUGAUCAGCCACACUGGAACGGAGACACGGUCCAGACUCCUACGGGAGGCAGCAGUGGGGAAUAUUGCACAAUGGGCGCAAGCCUGAUGCAGCCAUGCCGCGUGUAUGAAGAAGGCCUUCGGGUUGUAAAGUACUUUCAGCGGGGAGGCGUUACCCGCAGAAGAAGCACCGGCUAACUCCGUGCCAGCAGCCGCGGUAAUAC